UACGGAGGGUGCAAGCGUUAUCCGGAUUUACUGGGUUUAAAGGGUGUGUAGGCGGACUAUUAAGUCAGUGGUGAAAUCCCGAGGCUCAACCUCGGAACUGCCUUUGAUACUAUUAGUCUUGAAUGUUGUUGAGGUGGGCGGAACGGGUCAUGUAGCGGUGAAAUGACAUAGAUAUGACCCGGAACACCGAUUGCGAAGGCAGCCCGCUAAGCAACUAUUGACGCUGAGGCACGGAAAAGC
rnacentral:rRNA from 1 species